rnacentral:rRNA from 1 species
UACGUAGGCAGCGAGCGUUGUUCGGAAUUACUGGGCGUAAAGAGUGUGUAGGCGGUGCUCUAAGUCUGUCGUGAAAUCUCCCGGCUUAACUGGGAGGGUGCGGCGGAAACUGGUGUGCUCGAGGGUGGGAGAGGUAAGCGGAAUUCCAGGUGUAGCGGUGAAAUGUGUAGAUAUCUGGAGGAACACCGGUGGCGAAGGCGGCAUCCUGGACCGGUAUUGACGCUGAGGCGCGAAAGCUAGGGGAGCAAACGGG